UGAGGAAUAUUGGUCAAUGGGCGGAAGCCUGAACCAGCCAUCCCGCGUGAAGGAAGACAGCCUUACGGGUUGUAAACUUCUUUUCUGUCAGAAGAAUAAGCUUGUCGAGACGAGUGAUGCCGGUAUGACAGGAAUAAGCAUCGGCUAACUCCGUGCCAGCAGCCGCGGUAAUACGGAGGAUGCAAGCGUUAUCCGGAUUUAUUGGGUUUAAAGGGUGCGCAGGUUGUUUGAUAAGUCAGUGGUGAAAGUCUGUCGCUUAACGGUAGGAUUGCCAUUGAUACUGUUGGACUUGAAUAUGGAUGAGGUAGGCGGAAUGUGUAGUGUAGCGGUGAAAUGCAUAGAUAUUACACAGAACACCGAUUGCGAAGGCAGCUUACAAUCCAUCAUUGACGCUGAGGCA
rnacentral:rRNA from 1 species